GACGAACGCUGGCGGCGUGCUUAACACAUGCAAGUCGAACGGAAAGGCCCUGCUUUUGUGGGGUGCUCGAGUGGCGAACGGGUGAGUAACACGUGAGUAACCUGCCCUUGACUUUGGGAUAACUUCAGGAAACUGGGGCUAAUACCGGAUAGGAGCUCCUGCUGCAUGGUGGGGGUUGGAAAGUUUCGGCGGUUGGGGAUGGACUCGCGGCUUAUCAGCUUGUUGGUGGGGUAGUGGCUUACCAAGGCUUUGACGGGUAGCCGGCCUGAGAGGGUGACCGGCCACAUUGGGACUGAGGUACGGCCCAGGCGCCUACGGGAGGCAGGAGGGGGGGAUAGUGCGAAAAGGGCGGAAGCCUGAAGGAAGAACGCCGCGUGCGGGAAGGCGGCCUUCGGGGUGUAAACCGCUUUCGCCUGUGACGAAGCGUGAGGGACGGUAAUGGGUAAAGAAGCACCGGCUAACUACGU
rnacentral:rRNA from 1 species